rnacentral:lncRNA from 1 species
GAUUUUGAUUUUUUUCAUUUUUUGUUUUGGUACCGGGAUUGAACUCGGGUCCUUGUGCUUUCCAGGCAGGCGCAGGAAGCACUGAGCUAAAUCUCCGGCCCAGUUGACAGAUUUUUUUUUUUUUUUUUUUGGUACCGCGGAUUGAACUUGGGACCUUGCGCUUGCAAGGCAGCCGCCAGAACCACUGAGCUAAAUCCCCGGCCCUCCAGUUGACUGAUUUUCAAACAUGUUGCCUUGAAAUGCCCAGCCUGCUGGCCACAGCCACUCCUCCUGUGCCCUCAGGGCCCCCUUGCCUCUUGCAGUUUGGCCCAUGAAAGUAGGAGGAAGAUGUGCUUGGGCGUUGGUCCAUUGUGCAGCUCUGUGCUCCGAGGAAUAAAGCAGCAGUGGUGUUACUGUGGCACUGGCUCUUCCCUGGGAGUCGCUCUCUGUGGGCUUUGGAAACAUUGGCUUUUAAGGCUUGCCCAGCAAGUUGAUGACUCAGUUGGAAAACCCAGGCCUGCGAGUGGUGCUUUCUGCUGUCCCUCUGCGUGGCCAUGCAGCAGGACUGUGACCACGGAUGUGGCAUCCGGUGAGGUGGCCACCAGCCACGUGUGACUUGGAGUACCUGACAAGUAACUGGUGCACCUGAGGAAGCGCAGUGUGUGUGUGCGGCGCCUGGUCACGCUGCUGCAUGCAUGUGAGACAGCCAGGAUGUAAUGUGAUCGGUACCAAUUUAUUGCAGUAGCCGCCUGUGGCCGGCAGCUGCCGGAUUGGACAGCACUGACUGGCAAGAGCUUUGCCCACACUAAGUUUGAAAUUAUGUAAUUUAACUAAUUAGACUCAGUUUAAUAAUCUCUUGUUCAUGUACAAAUUGGAGAGGUAGCUUUUAACUUUUUUCCUACCGUGCCUGAGUAUUUUAUGGCUAUCAAAAGGCAGCACCGUUUCCUUCUUUAUGCUGGGAUUACAGGCCUGCGCCACCGUGCCUGUAGAUUAAUUUGUAAAUCUGGCCCCAGAUUAACUUGUAAAAAACCUCUUCUUGGUCGUAGUUCAUGUGUUCAGCAACCACACUGGCUGAGGCCCCGGCCGGCAGCGUGGGCCAGGCAGCUCUGUCGUCACGAGAAGCUGUCUGGACCCAGCAGUCAGGGGGCAUGCUUGUCUAUAAACUCUCUCCCGCUUACGUCCUCCUCUGGCUGCAGCCUUGUUUCUCUGCUUUUCCUCCAAGCAGAAUUGCGUGCUUCUUCCAUGGCCUUUGCUUGGCCUCUGCACCGCUCAGCCCUGGGACUGACCUAGGGAGGGCCACCCAGGCUUCUGUCUACAAAUCCAGCACUGGGGCUGGGCCCAGACCUUCAGCCUUUUUAAAGAGUAUUUUUUAUUUUGAUACAGGGUCUUGCUGAGUGUCUCUGUUACCCAGGCUGGGCUUGAACUUGCAGUCCUCCUGCCUCAGCCUCCCCAGUGCUGGGAUUACAGGCUCACGCCACCGGGCCUGGCUGUAUAAAAUACUUGAUUCUUCAAACUUCUAAAGGGAAAAGCUACAUUAAAAAAUCGCACCAUACUUAGUAUAGCAUGACUCUGGAGUGGGUCCUCAUGUCUCCGUGUUGGGGGCUUGGAACCCCCUGGAGCUGUGUCAUGGAGGUUCAGGGCUCUGCCAGUGCCAGUGUCUCGGCUUGGUGCGUGCAUCGUGGUUGUACAGGUCCUUGUGUGUAGGGUCUCAGCCGUGCUCGGGAGGAGGGAGACGCGUACUGCACUGGAGCAUAAAGAGCUCUGUUGCUUCUCAGGAGACCAUGGGGUUAUUACCCUUUGCAGACCUGGUUCAAGUCUUUGCUCUCUCGGUAUCAUGGAUCUUGGAUGUGUGAUUUAGAUCUCUAAGACCCUAAGACUUAUGUCGAAGUGUUGAGAGGAGGUAGUGUAAGGCUGUGCUCAGCACAGUGCUUCACACAGUACUUCUCAGUAAAAGGUUACUUAGAUGCUUAUAAAAUUCAGACAUCAAAAAAUGCUUUUCUCAUGUUCAGUGCUGACUUCUUUAUGUAAUAUAAACUCUUGUUGUUGGUUUUGGUUUUGGGUUUUUUGUGGGUUUUUUUGGUACCAGGGAUCAAACUCGGGUCCUUGCGCUUUCCAGACAGGCGGCGGAACCACUGAGCUAAAUUUCCGGCCCCUGUUAUUUUUGUUUUUGUUUGUUUGUUUGUUUUUUGGUACCAGGGUUCGAACUCUGGACCUUGCGCUUGCAAGGCAAAUGCCAGAACCACUGAGCUAAAUCCCUGGCCCUGUUGUUUUUGUUUUUGAGAUUGGGCCUCACCAUGUAACUCAGGCUGGCCUUGAAUUUGAAAUCCUCCUGCCUCAGCCUCCCAAGCAGCUGGGGCCACAGCUGUAUCCCUGAAUACUACUUUUUUCAUUAAUUGCUUUUAUAAUAGUUGACAGUGUGGGACAAGAAUGUACCUAAUGUGUUAUAUAAUCCUCACAUUAGAGCUCUUUGGUCACAUGCUGUAGUUUUUUCGUUUUUUGAGACAGGGUCUUGCUGUGUAGCCCAGGCUGCCUUGAAUUUUCAAUGCUACAACCUUGGCCUCCUGAGUGGCUGGGAUUACUAGUGUGCACCACCAUACCUGGCUACA